rnacentral:antisense_RNA from 1 species
GGUAACCGAAGAUCACCCCGGGGCUGAGGGUGGGAUUGCUGAUCAGGCGAACGUCACCGCCACCGGGAGCCCAGGUGUCGUAGACACCGCCGAAGAACAUGGCCUUGAACACCAGCAGCAGCGCACCCACCCCGAGAAGGAUGAGGUGGUAGCCGAUGAUGUUGGUCAUCUGGUUCUUGUCGCGCCA